ACUCUUCACUAGGAGUACUCUGGUCAGAGUUUUACUAAAUUGAAAUACGGUGAUGCAUCAUCUCUAAUUUUACUUAGAAUGGUCAAUCCCAUCUUGACUCAUACUCAGACUUCAUAAGUACUUGACUGUACCUAAAAAUCCUUCAUCUUUGAAUUAAAAAUUCGGAUAGUCCAGCAUCAAAGCAUAGUGAGUUGCUUGUAAGUCACCGAGGCAGCCU
rnacentral:lncRNA from 1 species